CCUAAUGCAUAUUUGGUCAACAAAAGUUGGAUACUUCAAGCUCCCUACCACCUCCCCCGUUGGUGGAGUUCGGACCCAAUAGGGCGUACACUGGAAGACUAGUUUUUAAACCAAGAUCAUUAAACCCUUAGGAAAAUAAGGAUGCAAUGGAUUCAAAUCUACAAAGUAUACCCGCCAAGACAGAAGCUUGAAAGUUGUCCGCCUCGAUUGUAGGGACUUUCUGGCCAACUUUAAACUGAUAUAAAACGAGAUGCUUUAUUGGAGACGGGACAGCUCCUCUCACGUUACCUUGAGGACCAAACAUGGAGGCUG